AUGUACAAUCAACAACACUACAAAUGUUGGCAAUGGUAAGUUAUAGGAAAAUCACCAAAUUGAAGACCCAGCAACAACUAAUGUUGUAGGACCAGAAUUUUGAACUAUGAUAUAGUAUAAUGGAAAACAGUUGAUUGGGCUGUUUGCAAGGCAGUUAUGCCACUCUGAAUGGCAAACAAAAGAUUAAGCCAUCAAACUUAAAACUUUGAAUCAAUUGCAGAAAAUUUAUAGUGACUAAAAAAUGAGUAUAAAUUCAAAAUUAAUCCAAACCUUUAGCCUACAUAUUGUAGGACAUAAUGUAAUGUAAACAAUCGUGUAAUGAAAUGAAUGAUGCAAUAUA
rnacentral:misc_RNA from 1 species